CCCUUUCUUUUACUCGAACAGUCCGCAAUGAAACGGGUCAGCGAGGUCUUGCUGGGGUCAGCUCAUCUCUGAACGGUUGUGUAGUGUGGGACCCACUGUCGCCAGUCCAACUGACGAUGGACUGGAGGGUGAGAUCGCAGCGAGUCGUGUAGUGUGAACCGUACAGUGAUCCGACAACUUCCAAUGAUGUGUAUUCUGAACUUGACAAUGGUUUCCAGCCUUAAAAGACCUCUGCCCUCUGCCGACGAAACAGCCGCCCAGCUCUCCUCAGCACCUUGCUCACGCUGGGUAACAGUUCGUCUGCGAAGGCCCGCAGUCGGGGUGUCUUCGUGGAGCCGCUGCGUCUCUGAUUUUGCCUGCGUCAUCGGGCAGUUAACGACCCGACAGGCUUCCAGGGGAACCUUGAACUUGUCCCCGAACAUCCUGAGACACUUCACGUACUGAGAUUGUGGCGCUGAGAAAUUUCCCUAUCAGCAGGUUGAGGUGUUCACCAUUCAGUAUAUUUCUGAUGGCCUCACCACCACAUCAUCAUCAGCAGCAUGAUCAUCAUCAUCAUCGUCAUCAUCCUCGUCGUCAUCAUCAUCAGAGCCAUUAUCUGGAUUGCUGCUGUCUCCAGCAUCUUUAUAGCAUCCGCCAAAGUCGAUUUUGACGAAGGAUCUCUCUAAGAGAUGAAGAGGGAGAGUGAAAUGAAAGAACAUAUGUGAUUAUGUUGUUGCUGUGAAAACAAAAAAAGCAAAUAAAAC